GGCCGGCACCGGCUUCGGCGUGCGGGGCGGCGGAUGGCGCCGCGGCGGGCCAGGCUCCCCCGGGGCUUUAUGGCCGCGGAAGGCGAGCACGUGGCGGGUGCGCGCAUUGGGAGGCGCGCUCCUGCGGUGCCCGGCGGCCGCCGCUCGCCGUGCUGGCAGCGCGGCGCGGGCACGUGGGGGCUUGCGUCGGGUUGGAUCACGCGGAAGGCUGUGCCUUAGCCUGAGAGUCCCCCAGUUGCUUGGGGGUGAUCUUGGUCCCGGUGCAAAGUAAUUGCAGGCGAUGGUGAAUCGAGGGUGAAUUUAUGCAUUUAAAAUAAAUCAGUUGAGGUAAUUUGGAUGCGAAAUUCAUUGGCGGAAGUUGCCUCCCGUCCUGACUGAAACUUCCUAAAGGUUCAUGGUUUUCUGUGACUGAGGCAUGGCAAGAAGGGAAGUAGAACAUGCAUUGGAGACUGGAACAACUGAACAGGAAAUAUCUUCUCUCGCUGAAUCUGCAGCUGCUGGGAGCAUGAAAGGAGAGCAGAGCCAGCUCCCAUGUAGCCGAGCGGAGAAGCUGGAGAUGCUCAGGACUGGGCGAAGCAACAGCACAGCACAAUGAUGCGUCGGUGUAGAGUGAGGAGCCGCUUUCCACCACUGAGGAACCGCCUGGCCCUUAAGCUAGAGGGCCUGGAAUUGGCUGAGCAGCUCAGCCCCAGGUGAACUGCGGAGGUCUUCACGCAUGGGAACCAACAUACUGCCUGUCUGAGCCAAGCCAUGUUAUCCUAGUCCAUCCAGAGGGUCCUCUUUGCAUCACAGUCCUCCUAGGCCUGCUUUCUGCCUGGGAUAUGAAAAUGGAAGAUGAACAAGUCAAGGAAACUGAUAUCAUGGGCACAAAACUUUGGAUAUAAUGGUUUGGAAGACCACCUCUUUUUGUGGGAAAGCCACAGUAUGUCAAGCACUCCACAAAAGCAGAAGUGUUUCAACGACUCACUCCUAAAUAUGUAACACAGACAAGGAACUGGCUUGGUGAAACGGGGAGACAAAAGAGGAACACACUGAGCAGCUUUUACUGGAUUGAACAUCCCGAUUUGGACUUGUAUAUUAUUGUCCUGGUAGGUCUCGGAAAGAUGCGUGCAAGUUGGAAAGGGUUCAGAGGAGGGAGCCUGGAAGGCCCCGUGAGAAGAAAUGGCUAUUUUAGGUUGCAUUAGCAGAACUAUCACUUUCGAACACCGUGAGGUGCUAGUUCCCCUUUACUCAGCGUUGGUUAAGCCUCGCUUGGAGUCCUGCGUCCAGUUCUGGGCACCACAGUUUGAAAGGAUGCGGACAAGCUGGAAAGGGCUCAGAGGAAGGCAAUACAGAUGAUCCGGGGACGGGAAGCAAAGCCCCUUGAGGAGGGACUGAGAGAACUGAGCCAGUUCAGCCUUGGGAAGGGAGGACUGAGGGGAGGUGCGAUGGCAGGCUGCAAGCGCCUGGAGAGAGAGGACGGGAUCUCUUCUCCGCCAUCCCAGAGUGCAGGACGUGGAAUAGCGGGCUCAGUUCACAGGAAGCCAGGUUCUGGCUGAACAUCAGGGAGAACUUCCUGAUUGUCGGAGUAGUACGGCAAUGGAGCCCAUGGGCUCUCCCACCACGAAGGCAUUCAAGAUCCACCUGGGCAGCCAUCAGUUGCGGGUGCUUUAACCUGGAGUCCUGCCUUGAACAGGAGGGUGGACCCGAUGACCUUCUUGAUCCCUUUCAACUCUGCUAUGAUUCAUUGAGUGAAGCUGACUUUUUUUUUAAAAAAGUAACCUAUUUGAGACAUUUAAGAUUGCUGAUAUUUAAAAAGCUGUCAAUAUUUCUUAAAAAAAAAAAGAAAACUUAACCUUCAUCUUCCACUAUGUGUUGAAUUAAAGAACGCUGAUUAGAGGAGGUAUAGCUGUACCAGAGCAUCCAUCUGAAGGCGGAACCAGCUUUUCCCAAAUGCAGAUGUCUGUGCCAGUCCAGAGCAGGCACGGAAGUAACCCAAGAUGCCUUCGGUAUUUGCCCAGUGCGUUCUGGGCCGCUGCUCUUUGCCAAGAAAAGAAGGGCCUUUUCGGCUGUGGCGCCCCAACUGUGGAACAUGCUCCCCAGGGAGGGUCGCCUGGCACCCUCGCUUUGUUCUUUUCAGCAUCAGGCAAACCCCUUUUUCUCAACAUUUUAAUAUUUAAUUGAUUCUAUCUUUGAUUUUAUCGCUAAUGGUAGGAUGCAGUGUGUUUGUUGGUAUGUUGUUUUUUUGUAAGCCGUCCAGAUAAAUAAGCAAAUGAGAGGUCUGCGGGAGAGGCCCUUCUCCAGGAACGCUCCGUGAAAGAAG